rnacentral:lncRNA from 1 species
GUUGUUGUCGAUGAUUUCUACAAAUUAUUCUCUUUGGACCGGUGGCUGGCUUUAUAGGUGUUCCCCUACUACUAGUCAAACACUGAAAUAAAAAAGAAAACAAAAGUUGUCAGUAAAAAUAAAAAUAAAACUUGUAUCUAUAAUUUAAAUAUUUCCUAAUUAUUCUAUUAAAUGCAAAGAUAAAAAUUAAUCUAAUGACGUUCGCUCCCCGACAACGGCGUCAACAACUUAACCACCUCC